UACAGAGGUCCCAAGCGUUGUUCGGAUUCACUGGGCGUAAAGGGUGCGUAGGCGGUCGGGUAAGUCUGUCGUGAAAUCUCCGAGCCCAACUCGGAAACUGCGUCGGAUACUAUUCGGCUAGAGGAAUGGAGGGGAGACUGGAAUUCUCGGUGUAGCAGUGAAAUGCGUAGAUAUCGAGAGGAACACCUGCGGCGAAGGCGGGUUGCUGGGCUGACACUGACGCUGAUGCGCGAAAGCCAGGGGAGCGAACGGG
rnacentral:rRNA from 1 species